GUCUGUUUGGAGGUAUAAAAAGUUUAACCUGCCCACUGAUUAAUAGUAAUUAAAUGGCCGCGGUAUUUUGACCGUGCAAAGGUAGCAUAAUCGUUAGUUUUUUAAUUGAAAUCUUGUAUGAAUGGUUGGACAAAAGAAAAUCUGUCUCUUUGUUGUUUUUUGAAUUUAACUUUUAAGUGAAAAGGCUUAAAUAAAUUAAAAAGACGAUAAGACCCUAUAAAACUUAAUAUUAAUAUUUUAUUUAGUUAAAUUUUUAUAAUAAAAACUUAGUAGUUUAAUUUAUUUUAUUGGGGCGAUAGAGGUAAAAUUGGCACUAACUGCUUAAUGUUUAUUACAUUUAUAAAUGAUUAAAAUUUUAAAUGAUCCUUAAUAAAGAUUAUAAGUUUAAGUUACUUUAGGGAUAACAGCGUUAUUUUUUUUGAGAGUACUUAUCGAAAAAAAAGUUUGCGACCUCGAUGUUGAAUUAAAGUAUCUUUAUGAUUGCAGCAGUUAUAAAAGUAGGUCUGUUCGACCUUUGAAACUUUACAUGAUUUGAGUUCAAACCGGCGUGAG
rnacentral:rRNA from 1 species